ensembl:lncRNA
GGAUUAUUGGCUUCCCUGGUCCACACAGGGUCCUGGAUUGCUUGGUUGCCCCUCAUUCCUGGUCUACCCUGUGCCCCAUGGUGUUUGCAGCUUCUAUGGGCUGAAUUUAAUCAGUGAUUCACUGGAGCUGGAUCUGAACCCAAACCACAGGGAAGCCCUGGGCACUGAGGACAAUAAGAGCAACAGACAACCUCUCCUCCACUGCUUCUCUCUCUUCUCCACAAGGCAAGGCAGCUCUCACACAGGAGGCAUCCAGCCUAACUCCCAGCAGGGAGAGUGUGAGAUGUCUGUGGAUGAGCCCACAUUACAGUACGAUUCUGUGGGAAGACAUCUGGUAGCUUCUGGUGCAGCUGCAGCAGUCAGGACACAUGAACUACAGUGGAGUUCAGACCCACAGCUGGCCUCAUCUCAGACAGUCCCAUGAGGAGUGGUGUUUGGUUCCUGCUUCACAGUUAGGGCAGGAAAACACCUAGGAUACGAUGGGCCACUGCAGUUGAAGAGGCAGAGAACAACCGCAGAGGUGCCCAGUAUGUCCUCAGCCUGGACAACAAGUGUCUGCUCAAUCAUACAGACAGCUCAGGACUCUCUCACCCAGCGAAACCUGAGACUGCACACUGGUGGACCAGCUGGUUCCUCAAGAGGUUAGCUCUCUCAAUGGCAUGAAGUUCAGGUGCUACCUCUUCCUAUACUGGCCUGGUGAAGACAGAACCCUGGAGGACAUUGUGGUCUG